GACGAACGCUGGCGGCGUGCUUAACGCAUGCAAGUCGAACGAUGAACCCGGAGCUUGCUCCGGUGGAUUAGUGGCGAACGGGUGAGUAACACGUGAGUAACCUGCCCUUGACUCUGGGAUAACUGCGGGAAACUGUAGCUAAUACCGGAUACGACCCUCGGCGGCAUCGCCAGGGGGUGGAAAGAAUUUCGGUCAAGGAUGGACUCGCGGCCUAUCAGCUAGUUGGUGAGGUAAAGGCUCACCAAGGCGACGACGGGUAGCCGGCCUGAGAGGGUGACCGGCCACACUGGGACUGAGACACGGCCCAGACUCCUACGGGAGGCAGCAGUGGGGAAUAUUGGACAAUGGGGGCAACCCUGAUCCAGCCAUGCCGCGUGAGUGAUGAAGGCCUUAGGGUUGUAAAGCUCUUUUACCCGGGACGAUAAUGACUGUACCGGGAGAAUAAGCCCCGGCUAACUUCGUGCCAGCAGCCGCCGUAA
rnacentral:rRNA from 1 species